AAUGCCUUCUCCCGCAGCCUUGAAGUCCAAGAAGAUGAUGAAGGAGAAUGGUGGCCAAAAGAUCACAAGAAGAAUGCCCAAAAGGCCUUUAAAACCUAAUUUUGGGAUGCUAUGAGGCCACCCAUGCGGCCCCGCAUGCGGGGAGAGAAAGUUUCCGAGAAAUCCAGAAAAUCGCGUAAGUUGCUACAGUGCCGCUACAUUAAUUUUGCUACAGUGGAAUUGCUACAGCCGUAUGCGGCCUCUGCAGUGCCCGCAUGGUUGCCCGCAUGAUCUUUUAGACUUAGCCUUUUUGCCAAAGGUUUCAUGCUACAGUGCUGCUACAGUAUCCCGCUACAGUACCGGAGCUCAAAAAUGGUCUUUUUCCUGCCGAUUUCUUCUAAAAUCAUAUUGUCGAGGUCCCCACGGUAUCUUCUGUGCCUGUAACACGAAAUAAACCAAUUCAGACCGAAAACGGGCAUCCACACAUACAACAAUACUCUAUAAAUACGCAAACAUACAUAAAUAAUACGUAUAGUUAGGCAUUUAUCAGUUUUCAUUGAUCAAGAACGAAAGUUGGGGGAUAGAAGACGAUCAGAUACUGUCCUAGUCUCAACCAUAAACGAUACUGACCAGGGAUCGGCGGAUGUUACUUUAAGGACUCCGCCGGCACCUUAUGAGAAAUCAAAGUCUUUGGGUUCCGGGGGGAGUAUGGUCGCAAGGCUGAAACUUAAAGGAAUUGACGGAAGGGCACCACCAGGUCUGGAGCCUGCGGCUUAAUUUGACUCAACACGGGGAAACUUACCAGUCCAGUCAUAGCAAGGAUUGACAGACUAAGAGCUCUUUCUUGAUUCUAUGGGUGGUGGUGCAUGGCCGUUCUUAGUUGGUGGAGCGAUUUGUCUGGUUAAUUACGAUAACGAGCGAGACCUCAGCCUGCUAACUAGCUAUGCGGAGGAAUCCCUCCGCGGCCAGCUUCUUAGAGGGACUGCGGCCGUUUAGGCCACGGAAGUUUGAGGCAAUAACAGGUCUGUGAUGCCCUUAGAUGUUCUAGGCCGCACGCGCGCUACACUGAUGUAUUCAACGAGUCUAUAGCCUUGGCCGACAGGCCCGGGUAAUCAUCACAAUUGUUGGACUUCAACGAGGAAUUCCUAGUAAGCGUGGGUCAUCAGCUCGCGUUGACUACGUCCCUGCCCUUUGUACACACCGCCCGUCGCUCCUACCGAUUGAAUGGUCCGGUGAAGUGUUCGGAUCGCGGCGACGGGAGCGGACUCGCCGCCCGCAACGUCGCGAGAAGUCCACUGAACCUUAUCAUUUAGUGGAAGGAGAAGUCGUAACAAGGUUUCCGUAGGUGAACCUUCGGAAGG
rnacentral:rRNA from 1 species